AGAAAACAAAGAGAGAAACAAAGAGAAAGUGUGUGAGAGAGCAAAGGAAAGCCGAUGCCCAAAUCCAGCAAAUGGUACUAGCCCUACCCCAGGGAGAAAAAGAAAGCAAGCAAUCUGAAAAGCAGGUCGAACUGCUGUAGACUCAGAACUGGUGCCCAGCAUAAUUGCUAGUGCUCACUAAGCCGGUGCUCACUAAGUUGCUGAUGAAGUGAAAUUUGAGAGGCAGGAAUGUGACAAACACCUUUACAAAACGCACAAGGACAGCCCAGCCAGCUGAUGGCUCGUGUGGCUCAGCGGUUGAACAUCGGCCUAUGAUCCAGGGUCUGCCCUCUCUCCUGCCCUGCUUUUACCCCCAGCCUGGAGUCCGCCUGGAUGGAAAUGCAGCAGAUGAUGGGCUCAGAGUUAAUCAUCUGCAGGUUUUCCCCGAUAAGUCACAGUAUGUUUGCCGCGCCGCUUCCAAGAGCCCACAGCAGCUACGGGGAUGUGCCGAGAGCGGCCUGUGGCAUUCAGCUUGCGGCCGGAUGGGAGCAGUGCGCUGGGGCGCCUCUCUGAGCACCACCAUCUGGAAUGCUCUGCUGCCCUGAAGGCGCUGGUCUGCGUCUCCAGUGGACUCAGCCUAAAUGCCAAAACCCGGGCCAAGCUCGCUGGAUGUACAAACGGCCUGACGUCAGUGGAAUUUGCUCAUAAUUUAGGCCUCAUGUGUGAUGUACUGUCUGAACUGAAAGAUCUGUCAAAACAAUCAGGGAGGAAGAGGAAAGGAAGAGCGGAGGAAGGACAGAAGCCAGAGAUGGAAGGAAAAGCAGACAAGCAGGGGGAAGAGGAAAUGAGGGCAUGGCCGGGAGCUGCGGCAGAACAGGUUCAGCUUUUGACUCCUCAGGCCAACGGUCCCUGUAAAUUUGUUGAAAGCAUCAGUGCCAAAUAAAACAUGGCCUUUUAAAGCACUGAAUUACGUGAGUGCAGAGCUGUUAAAAUCAGUGUAGCAAAAAUCCAGCUGGGUUUGGCCAGUGCCACAAAGCACAAAAUGAUGAUCACUUGUUCUGCCAAGACUCAAGGUUCCCCAGACGCGGCGGCCUGAGCAGAGUUAUUUGGAUAUAUGUCCGGAUCACCAUUCUUUAAAACAAAACAAAAAAUUGCUAUUAAGAAAUAGACAGCUGUUGUUUUUGCUUGCCCUGUGUCCAGAGGUGGGUUUAUUGUGACGCUAGCAAAGUUUUAAGCUUCAGAGGCCUUCACUUGCCUGGAUCCCUGUAGCUGCCGGGAGAUUCCAGGAGUUAUGGAGUGUCCUAGAUGGAGAGAGGAAGCCACGUUACAAUCAAGAAGCGUUUAAACAUAAGCAUCUGUGGUAAAUUGCCUGAAGCAGACUUUGGAAGAAAAGAACUGAAUCACUAAGAUUCCAAUAACUUGUUGCGAUUUACAGUUUUAUUCUUAAUAAAAUUCACUUAAUACUUGUUUUUAAAUUUGUAAUUUUGUAUUAUUUUUAUCAAGCAGAGGCCCAAAAUGAUAGCGCUUCAAGUUCCCCA